UACAGAGGGUGCGAGCGUUGUUCGGAAUUAUUGGGCGUAAAGCGCUUGUAGGCGGCCUGUCAAGUCGCGUGUGAAAUCCCCUGGCUUAACCAGGGAAGUGCGCGCGAAACUGAAGGGCUUGAGUGCCGGAGAGGGUCGCGGAAUUCCCGGUGUAGAGGUGAAAUUCGUAGAUAUCGGGAGGAACACCAGUGGCGAAGGCGGCGACCUGGACGGACACUGACGCUGAGGCACGAAGGUCAGGGGAGCAAACGGG
rnacentral:rRNA from 1 species